GACGAACGCUGGCGGCGUGCUUAACACAUGCAAGUCGAACGGAAAGGCCCGGCUUUUAUGGUGUUCUCGAGUGGCGAACGCGGGAGUGUCACGCGUAUAUCCUGCCCCUGACAGUGGGAGAACUCUAGGAAACUCGGGAGAUAAUCGCGUAGGAGCUCCGGCUGCACGGGGGGGGUUGGAAAAUGUCGGCGUUUGGGGAUGAACUCGCGGCUUAUCAGCUUGUUGGUGGGGUAGUGGCGUACCAGGGCUUUGACGGGUAGCCGGCCUGAGAGGGUGACAGGCCACAUUGGGACUGGGAUAGGGCCCAGACUCCUACGGGAGGCAUCAGUGGGGAAUUUUGCACAAUGGGCGGAAGCAUGAUGCAGCAACUCCGCGUGCGGGAUGACGGCCUUAGGGUUGUAAACCGCUUUCGCCUGUGACGAAGCGUGAGUGACGGUAAUUGGUAAAGAAGCACCGGCUAACUACGUG
rnacentral:rRNA from 1 species